UACGGAGGGGGCGAGCGUUGCUCGGAAUGACUGGGCGUAAAGGGCGCGUAGGCGGAUGGUACAGUCAGAUGUGAAAUUCCCGGGCUUAACCUGGGGGCUGCAUUUGAUACGUGCGAUCUGGAGUGAGGAAGAGGGUCGUGGAAUUCCCAGUGUAGAGGUGAAAUUCGUAGAUAUUGGGAAGAACACCGGUGGCGAAGGCGGCGACCUGGUCCUUGACUGACGCUGAGGCGCGAAAGCGUGGGGAGCAAACAGG
rnacentral:rRNA from 1 species